AACGAACGCUGGCGGCAUGCCUAACACAUGCAAGUCGAACGAGAUCUUCGGGUCUAGUGGCGCACGGGUGCGUAACGCGUGGGAAUCUGCCCUUUGGUUCGAAAUAAAAGUUGGAAACGACUGCUAAUACCGGAUGAUGACGAAAGUCCAAAGAUUUAUCGCCAGAGGAUGAGCCCGCGUAGGAUUAGCUAGUUGGUGUGGUAAAGGCGCACCAAGGCGACGAUCCUUAGCUGGUCUGAGAGGAUGAUCAGCCACACUGGGACUGAGACACGGCCCAGACUCCUACGGGAGGCAGCAGUGGGGAAUAUUGGACAAUGGGCGAAAGCCUGAUCCAGCAAUGCCGCGUGAGUGAUGAAGGCCUUAGGGUUGUAAAGCUCUUUUACCCGGGAUGAUAAUGACAGUACCGGGAGAAUAAGCUCCGGCUAACUCCGUGCCAGCAGCCGCCGUAA
rnacentral:rRNA from 1 species